GAGCAAUACCGCGUGAGGGAGGAAGGCUCUUGGGUUGUAAACCUCUUUUAUUAAGGAAGAAGAAAGUGACGGUACUUAAAGAAUAAGCAUCGGCUAACUCCGUGCCAGCAGCCGCGGUAAUACGGAGGAUGCAAGCGUUAUCCGGAAUUAUUGGGCGUAAAGCGUCCGCAGGUGGCUAAUCAAGUCUGCUGUUAAAGACAGAAGCUUAACUUCUGAGCAGCGGUGGAAACUGGAGAGCUAGAGUACGGUAGGGGUUGAGGGAAUUCCCAGUGUAGCGGUGAAAUGCGUAGAUAUUGGGAAGAACACCAGUGGCGAAGGCGCUCAACUGGGCCGUAACUGACACUGAGGGACGAAAGCUAGGGGAGCGAAAGGGAUUAGAUACCCCUGUAGUCCUAGCUGUAAACGAUGAACACUAGGCGUUGCUUGUAUCGACCCGAGCAGUGCCGUAGCCAACGCGUUAAGUGUUCCGCCUGGGGAGUACGCACGCAAGUGUGAAACCCAAAGGAAUUGACGGGGGCCCGCACAAGCGGUGGAGUAUGUGGUUUAAUUCGAUGCAACGCGAAGAACCUUACCAGGACUUGACAUCUCGAGAAGCUGUAGGAGACUAUGGUGUGCCUUAGGGAACUCGAAGACAGGUGGUGCAUGGCUGUCGUCAGCUCGUGUCGUGAGAUGUUGGGUUAAGUCCCGCAACGAGCGCAACCCUCGUUCUUAGUUGCCAGCAUUAAGUUGGGCACUUUAGGAAGACUGCCGGUGACAAACCGGAGGAAGGUGGGGAUGACGUCAAGUCAGCAUGCCCCAUACGUUCAGGGCUACACACGUACUACAAUGGUUGGGACAAAGGGCAGCGAGCUCGCGAGAGUAAGCGAAUCUCAGCAAACCCAGCCUCAGUUCAGAUUGCAGGCUGCAACUCGCCUGCAUGAAGGAGGAAUCGCUAGUAAUCGCAGGUCAGAAUACUGCGGUGAAUUCGUUCCCGGGCCUUGUACACACCGCCCGUCACACCAUGGAAGUUGGCCACGCCCGAAGUCGUUACCCUAACCGUUUAGGCGGAGGGGGAUGCCGAAGGCAGGGCUGGUGACUAGGGUGAAGUCGUAACAAGGUAGCCGUACCGGAAGGUG
rnacentral:rRNA from 1 species